rfam:Anopheles melas strain CM1001059_A cont2.3453, whole genome shotgun sequence.
ACCCUCUCAAAGUGGCUGUGAAAUGCGUCCUUCACUGUAUAAGGGAAGAAUCCUUUUUCGCAUAUCACAGCCAGCUUUGAAGAGCGUCA